UGGGGAAUCUUGCACAAUGGGGGAAACCCUGAUGCAGCGACGCCGCGUGAGCGAUGAAGCCCUUCGGGGGUGUAAAGCUCUUUCGGCAGGAACGAUAAUGACGGUACCUGCAGAAGAAGCUGCGGCUAACUACGUGCCAGCAGCCGCGGUAAUACGUAGGCAGCAAGCGUUGUUCGGAAUUACUGGGCGUAAAGAGUGUGUAGGUGGUGUCGUAAGUUUGGUGUGAAAUCUCCCGGCUUAACUGGGAGGGUGCGCCGAAGACUGCGAUGCUGGAGUAUGGGAGAGGAAAGCGGAAUUCCUGGUGUAGCGGUGAAAUGCGUAGAUAUCAGGAGGAACACCUGCGGUGUAGACGGCUUUCUGGACCAUUACUGACACUGAGACACGAAAGCGUGGGUAGCAAA
rnacentral:rRNA from 1 species